CCUACGGGAUGCAGCAGUGGGGAAUAUUGGGCAAUGGGCGCAAGCCUGACCCAGCAACGCCGCGUGAAGGAAGAAGGCCCUCGGGUUGUAAACUUCUUUUAUUCGGGACGAAACAAAUACCGGUACCUAAUGAAUAAGCCCCGGCUAACUACGUGCCCGCAGACGCGGUACUACGUAGGUGGCAAGCGUGAGCCGGAUGUACUGGGUGUAAAGGGCGUGUAGGCGGGAGUGCAAGUCAGACGGGAACUUCCCGGGCUCAACCCUGGAACUGCGUUUGAAACUGUUCUUCUUGAGUGAUGGAGAUGCAGGCGGAAUUCCGUGUGUAGCGGUGAAAUGCGUAGAUAUACGGAGGAACACCAGUGGCGAAGGCGGCCUGCUGGACAUUAACUGACGCUGAGGCGCGAAAGCGUGGGGAGCAAACAGGAUUAGAUACCCGAGUAGUC
rnacentral:rRNA from 1 species